CGAGAAGACAGAUCUGAAGAAAAUUCAAGAAAAUGGGAAAAUUGAUAGAAAGAAGGUGGAGCUGAAUACAAUGUCUGCAUUUGUGGCUAACUCCAAGCAAUACAUUAUGAAGAUGAUGUUAUUCAGACACACACCCAAACAAUUUGAUUCAGACAAAUUGGAUACGAGACUUUGACCAGCAUGAGAAGAACAGGCAAGUCCAAAUCCCACCAACACAAGCCCUGCUGGACUAAGAGGCAG
rnacentral:lncRNA from 1 species